ACCAGUUGAUCCUGCUGGAGGGCACUGCUAUCGGAUUACGAUUAAGCCAUGCAAGUCUUAAGAUACGACACGUAUCUUGGCGAACGGCUCAGUAAUACGUAGUCAACCUACCCUGAAGAGAGGCAUAACCUCGGGAAACUGUGGUGAAUAUCUCAUGGGUCGCCGAGGCUGGAAUGCACGGCGAUUUAAAGGAGCGCGAAAUGGAGCGCCACCGCUUCAGGAUGGGACUGCGGCUGAUUAUGGUAGUUGGCGGGGUAAAGGCCCACCAAGCCGAUUAUCAGUACGGGCUAUGAGAGUAGCAGCCCGGAGACGGGUACUGAGACAAGGACCCGAGCCCUACGGGGUGCAGCAGGCGCGAAAUUUCCGCAAUGCGCGAAAGCGUGACGGGGGUAAUCCGAGUGAUAGUCUAACGACUAUCUUUUGACCAGUCUGAACCACUGGUAGAAUAAGUGGUGGGUAAAUCCUGUGCCAGCCGCCGCGGUAAUACAGGUAGCACAAGUGGUGUCCACGAAUAUUGAGUCUAAAGCGCCCGUAGCUGGCCUUGCCAGUCUUCUGUGAAAUCUCACGGCUUAACCGUGAGGCGUGCAGAAGAUACUACAAGGCUUGGGAGUGGGGGAGGUCAGAGGUACUAUAGGGGGAGGAGUAAAAUCCUGUAAUCCUUGUAGGACCCUCGGUGGCGAAGGCGUCUGACCAAAACACAUCCGACAGUGAGGGACGAAGGCUAGGGGAGCGAACCGGAUUAGAUACCCGGGUAGUCCUAUGCAGUAAAUCAUGCAAACUAGGCGUUGCAGUCCUUUAACGGGGCUGCAGUGCCGUAGGGAAGCCGUUUAGUUUGCCACUUGGGGAGUACGGUCGCAAGACUGAAACUUAAAGGAAUUGGCGGGGGAGCACCACAAGGGGUGGAUGCUGCGGUUCAAUUGGACUCAACGCCGGAAAACUCACCAGAAGAGACGGCAGGAUGAAGCUCAGGCCAAAGACCUUAGCUAACGAGCCGAGAGGUGUUGCAUGGCCAGCGUCAGUUCGUGCCGUGAGGUGUCAGGUUAAGUCCUGCAACGAACGAGAUCUCCGUCGACAGUUGCUACCAUUAUGGAAACAAAGUGGGCACUCUGUCGAGACUGCCCGCGUCAAGUGGGAGGAAGGAGGAGGCGACGCUAGGUCUGUAUGGCCCGAAUCUUCUGGGCCACACGUGGCAUACAAUGGCACAGACAAUGAGUUCCGACGCCGAAAGGCGAAGGCAAUCCCCUAAACUGUGCCUAAGUUCGGAUCGGGGGCUGAAACUCGUCCCCGUGAAGCUGGAAUCCCUAGUAAUCGCGUGUCAUUAUCGCGCGGUGAAUAUGUCCCCGCUCCUUGCACACACCGCCCGUCAAGCCAUCCAAGCUUGGUUUUAGUGAGGCACCGUCAGUGAUGAUGGUGUCGAGCUAGAGCUAGGUAAGGAGGGUUAAGUCGUAACAAGGUA
rnacentral:rRNA from 1 species